CUUAAUUUGCUUACACUAUUGCAUUCCGAGAAAAAUCUCCCAUUUGAAGAAUAAUUUCGGAUUGAGGAGUCUGCCAAAAACAUCGGCAACAACUAAUUGAUCAUCCCAUUUGAUGUUGCAUCCCGAUGGAAUCUCCUUCUUCUUGAAAUAAUCUUCACUGGGGCACGGCGUACUGCGCGUUUAGGCCGAACAUUACUAUCCUAUAUGUGGCUAAUAGUAUGUAUGAACUUGCAGACGACUAAACUAUGAAAACUUUCCACAAGAAAAUUGGUGCAGUCAAUCACUCACUCCCCUGGAGAAGUCUUUGAAAUGUUGCACACGAUUCUUCUGAUAAGGAUAGAGCCAGCCAUGUAUUUAUCCACAUUCAUCGUCGCGUCGCGAGUAGUGGGCAACGGUGGGCGCCUUGCAGCAGGUUGCCUCUCCAAACCUAUACAAGCAAAAGCGAACGAGUGAGGAGCAUGGCGUCUCAAGAUAGUAGAAGAAGACGAAGAGGACUUGCCGUGCUCGCUUUCGUUGCCUCCAUGUUCUGGUUGCUGGCAUCGCAGUCCAUUUGCGACGGCCGAGUGUUGAACUACUCGAUUGAUCCGAGCUUGUGGUUGGCGCUUCUUCAAAUACGCUAUGGUCCAUUGGGUUGCAGUACGCCUGAAGGUAAAAAGAAGUGUCAUCCUCCCGUGACGGUCAGGGACCCUAAACCUCAUCAACCGGCCACGCUUGCAGUACCAACUCCGCCUUAACCAAGCAUGACAUGACGGCCGGCCUUUCAAGUCCUUCCGCCACCACCACCACUACUUAUCUCUCUCUCUCUCUCUCGUCCAUGAUCUAUCAUGUGUCUAUGACAUGUACGACAUAAUUAAAAUAAAUUGGAUUAUUGUGUUAUCAUGGUAUUCUGGUA